UACGGAGGGAGCUAGCGUUGUUCGGAAUUACUGGGCGUAAAGCGCACGUAGGCGGCUUUGUAAGUUAGAGGUGAAAGCCCGGGGCUCAACCCCGGAAUUGCCUUUAAGACUGCAUCGCUUGAAUCCGGGGAGAGGUGAGUGGAAUUCCGAGUGUAGAGGUGAAAUUCGUAGAUAUUCGGAAGAACACCAGUGGCGAAGGCGGCUCACUGGCUCAUUACUGAGCUCAGGCGCGUAGCGUGGGGAU
rnacentral:rRNA from 1 species